rnacentral:rRNA from 1 species
UAAGAUUUUAAUUGAAUGCUAAGAGAAUGGAAUAUCAAAAAACAACUUUCUUAAAAUUAAAAAUUGAAAUUUUUUUAAUUUGUGUAAAAACAAUUAUAAAAAUUAAAGACAAGAAGACCCUAAGAAUUUUUAAAAUUUAAAUAAUACAUUUUUUGUUUUAAUUAAAUUUUAACUGGGGCGGUUAAAAAAUAUUAAAAACUUUUUAAUUUAAAAAUGACCCAUUAUUAAUGAAAAUAUGAUUAAAUACUCUAGGGAUAACAGCGUUAUAUUUUUUGAUAGAUCAUAUUGACAAAAAAGUUUGCGACCUCGAUGUUGGAUUAGGAUACUUUUUUAAUGAAGAU